rnacentral:rRNA from 1 species
UUGUAUGUACCGUUCGAAUAAGCAUCGGCUAAUUCCGUGCCAGCAGCCGCGGUAAUACGGGAAGAUGCGAGCGUUAUCCGGGAUUUAUUGGGUUUAAAGGGAGCGUAGGCGGGCUGUUAAGUCAGCGGUUAAAUGUCAGUGCCCAACAUUGGCAUGCCGUUGAAACUGGUGGUCUUGAAUACACACAAGGAAGGUGGAAUUCGUCGUGUAGCGGUGAAAUGCUUAGAUAUGACGAAGAACUCCGAUUGCGAAGGCAGCCUUCUGGGGUGCGAUUGACGCUGAGGCUCGAAAGUGCGGGUAUCAAACAGGAUUAGAUACCCUGGUAGUCCGCACAGUAAACGAUGAAUGCUAGUCAUUGGUGAUACACGAUCAGUGACCGAGGGAAACCAUUAAGCAUUCCACCUGGGGAGUACGCCGGCAACGGUGAAACUCAAAGGAAUUGACGGGGGCCCGCACAAGCGGAGGAACAUGUGGUUUAAUUCGAUGAUACGCGAGGAACCUUACCCGGGCUUGAAUUGCAGAGGACAGGCUGAGAGAUCAGUUUUUCUUCGGACCUCUGUGAAGGUGCUGCAUGGUUGUCGUCAGCUCGUGCCGUGAGGUGUCGGCUUAAGUGCCAUAACGAGCGCAACCCUUGUCCUUAGUUGCCAUCAGGUUAUGCUGGGCACUCUGGGGAGACUGCCAUCGCAAGAUGUGAGGAAGGUGGGGAUGACGUCAAAUCAGCACGGCCCUUACGUCCGGGGCUACACACGUGUUACAAUGGGGGGCACAGCGCGCAGCUACCUGGCGACAGGUUGCGAAUCGUGAAAUCCCCUCUCAGUUCGGACUGGAGUCUGCAACCCGACUCCACGAAGCUGGAUUCGCUAGUAAUCGCGCAUCAGCCAUGGCGCGGUGAAUACGUUCCCGGGCCUUGUACACACCGCCCGUCAAGCCAUGAAAGCCGGGGGCGCCUGAAGUCCGUUACCGCAAGGAUCGGCC